UACGUAGGGUGCGAGCGUUGUCCGGAAUUAUUGGGCGUAAAGAGCUCGUAGGCGGUGUGUCACGUCGGCCGUGAAAACCUGCAGCUUAACUGUGGGCGUGCGGUCGAUACGGGCAUCACUGGAGUUCGGCAGGGGAGACUGGAAUUCCUGGUGUAGCGGUGAAAUGCGCAGGUAUCAGGAGGAACACCGGUGGCGAAGGCGGGUCUCUGGGCCGAUACUGACGCUGAGGAGCGAAAGCGUGGGGAGCAAACAGG
rnacentral:rRNA from 1 species